rnacentral:tRNA from 1 species
GAGGGUAUAGCUCAAGUGGUAGAGCACAUGCUUAGCAUGCACGAGGUCCUAGGUUCAAUCCCCAGAACCUUCU